rnacentral:rRNA from 1 species
AUUGAACGCUGGCGGCAGGCCUAACACAUGCAAGUCGAGCGGCAGCGGGAAAGUAGCUUGCUACUUUUGCCGGCGAGCGGCGGACGGGUGAGUAAUGCCUGGGGAUCUGCCCAGUCGAGGGGGAUAACUACUGGAAACGGUAGCUAAUACCGCAUACGCCCUACGGGGGAAAGCAGGGGACCUUCGGGCCUUGCGCGAUUGGAUGAACCCAGGUGGGAUUAGCUAGUUGGUGAGGUAAUGGCUCACCAAGGCGACGAUCCCUAGCUGGUCUGAGAGGAUGAUCAGCCACACUGGAACGGAGACACGGUCCAGACUCCUACGGGAGGCAGCAGUGGGGAAUAUUGCACAAUGGGGGAAACCCUGAUGCAGCCAUGCCGCGUGUGUGAAGAAGGCCUUCGGGUUGUAAAGCACUUUCAGCGAGGAGGAAAGGUUGGUAGCUAAUAACUGCCAGCUGUGACGUUACUCGCAGAAGAAGCACCGGCUAACUCCGUGCCAGCCGCCGCUGUAA